AAUAAACAGUUUCAGAACAUAUACAUUAACAGUUCAAGGCAUGAUGGUGACAAGAUUUGACGACCCUCUGAUAUUUUCAGUUUUGCCUUUGCAUAUAGUAUAUCUUCAUUAUUCAAAUCUUAACAUCUCUCCAAAGAAAUUGCAUUGGGUUUUAUCAAAGAAUGCAUAAUUCAUCCUUAGGUUCCAAUUAUUCUAGCUAGCCAGGGAGUUGACCUCCGAGUUAAUUAACAUCACUUAAAAGUGGCUCAGUUGAUAUGUGGAACCUUGAAAAAGACACUCA
rnacentral:lncRNA from 1 species